AGCUCCGAUUGAUGAGCUGUUUGUGGCCAUGCGUUCAUCUUAGAGUCCUCUUCAAUUCUAUCCAAACAAAAAUGUGUAAUCUAACAUUGGAUAAUUGUUGGAUUAUACUCCAAUCAUCAAUGGGUAAGGUGGUGUGUUUGUAAGUGGAAUUUGAUGUUGUGGACAUUGGAGGCCUUGGAUUGGUGUCAAGUC